rnacentral:rRNA from 1 species
GACGAACGCUGGCGGCGUGCUUAGCACAUGCAAGUCGAACGGAAAGGCCCUGCUUUUGUGGGGUGCUCGAGUGGCGAACGGGUGAGUAACACGUGAGUAACCUGCCCUUGACUUUGGGAUAACUUCAGGAAACUGGGGCUAAUACCGGAUAGGAGCUCCUGCUGCAUGGUGGGGGUUGGAAAGUUUCGGCGGUUGGGGAUGGACUCGCGGCUUAUCAGCUUGUUGGUGGGGUAGUGGCUUACCAAGGCUUUGACGGGUAGCCGGCCUGAGAGGGUGACCGGCCACAUUGGGACUGAGAUACGGCCCAGACUCCUACGGGAGGCAGCAGUGGGGAAUAGUGCACAAUGGGCGGAAGCCUGAUGCAGCAACGCCGCGUGCGGGAUGACGGCCUUCGGGUUGUAAACCGCUUUCGCCUGCGACGAAGCGUGAGUGACGGUAAUGGGUAAAGAAGCACCGGCUAACUACGUG